rnacentral:misc_RNA from 1 species
GAUGAAGAACGUAGCGAAAUGCGAUAAGUAGUGUGAAUUGCAGAAGUACCGUGAAUCAUCGAAUCUUUGAACGCAAAUUGCACUCUCUGGUAUUCCGGGGAGUAUGCCUGUUUGAGGGUCGCUUAACAAACCAUCGAUUUCGUUGCUUUUUUUUUAAAGAGUGAUGUUUAUCGGAUUUGAGCCGUCUUUUUUUUUUAUAUUUAAAAGUGGCUUAAAAUUGAUUUUUUUGGUACGAUCGAAGCGUAUUUUUAUGAUCAAUUUUUGGUUAAAGAAACGCACACGUACCGUUUUUUAUAUGAUGUAAUACGUUUGACUAUUGGAUUUAGUUCAUUCGUAUACGAUAUCUUUCAAUAUUUGACCUCAAAUCAGGUAAGAACACCCGCUGAACUUAAGCAUAUCAAUAAGCGGAGGA